rnacentral:rRNA from 1 species
ACGAACGCUGGCGGCGUGCUUAACACAUGCAAGUCGAACGGAAAGGCCCUGCUUUUGUGGGGUGCUCGAGUGGCGAACGGGUGAGUAACACGUGAGUAACCUGCCCUUGACUUUGGGAUAACUUCAGGAAACUGGGGCUAAUACCGGAUAGGAGCUCCUGCUGCAUGGUGGGGGUUGGAAAGUUUCGGCGGUUGGGGAUGGACUCGCGGCUUAUCAGCUUGUUGGUGGGGUAGUGGCUUACCAAGGCUUUGACGGGUAGCCGGCCUGAGAGGGUGACCGGCCACAUUGGGACUGAGAUCCGGCCCAGACUCCUACGGGAGGCAGCAGUGGGGAAUAUUGCACAAUGGGCGGAAGCCUGAUGCAGCACCGCCGCGUGCGGGAUGACGGCCUUCGGGUUGUAAACCGCUUUCGCCUGUGACGAAGCGUGAGUGACGGUAAUGGGUAAAGAAGCACCGGCUAACUACG